UCACAGUGGAUUCCGUGCCUGAAUGUAAUGUGCAGUCUGGCCUUCAAUCCGAUUAGGGGCAUGUUGUCCUUUCUCCUACGCCUAGUGCCUUACUUUCUUAAAGAAGACAUCUGUCCAUUCAAUCGGAAUUUCUAUUUCUAGAGGUAUACUCCAUUUAGCGAUAUCCCACUUAUCUUCCUGAAAGUCAAGUGCCACACCGGAUACGCAUUCAGUUACCUUUCUAAGAGCUCCUUUCAUUUCUCUUCUUUGCUUCUGAUUCAAUAGCACGGAGACUCGCGCAAAGGGUUAACAGUUGAUAGGCAAGUCAAGCGGUAAAGCAGUAAAUCCACUAAGAAAGGCACUAAUAGCUAUUCACUCACCAACAACAGCGGCAAGGCAAGAGUGGAAGGAGAUUUUGUCGAGCCCUGCUUUGGUCUCUGGUUUGAUGGUUGUACGUGCUAAAAAUCC
rnacentral:lncRNA from 1 species